rnacentral:rRNA from 1 species
GUGGGGAAUAUUGCACAAUGGAGGAAACUCUGAUGCAGCGACGCCGCGUGAGUGAAGAAGUAAUUCGUUAUGUAAAGCUCUAUCAGCAGGGAAGAUAGUGACGGUACCUGACUAAGAAGCUCCGGCUAAAUACGUGCCAGCAGCCGCGGUAAUACGUAUGGAGCAAGCGUUAUCCGGAUUUACUGGGUGUAAAGGGAGUGUAGGUGGCCAUGCAAGUCAGAAGUGAAAAUCCGGGGCUCAACCCCGGAACUGCUUUUGAAACUGUGAGGCUGGAGUGCAGGAGGGGUGAGUGGAAUUCCUAGUGUAGCGGUGAAAUGCGUAGAUAUUAGGAGGAACACCAGUGGCGAAGGCGGCUCACUGGACUGUAACUGACACUGAGGCUCGAAAGCGUGGGGAGCAAACAGGAUUAGAAACCCCAGUAGUCC